rnacentral:rRNA from 1 species
GACGAACCGUGCGAACGUUGUUCGGAAUCACUGGGCUUAAAGGGCGCGUAGGCGGGCGGUCAAGUCUGUGGUGAAAUCCUCCGGCUCAACCGGAGAAUAGCUGGAGAUACUGAUCGUCUCGAGGGGGGUAGGGGCAUGUGGAACUUCCGGUGGAGCGGUGAAAUGCGUAGAUAUCUGGAAGAACACCAAUGGCGAAGGCAAUGUUCUGGCUCGUUUCUGACGCUCAGGUGCGAAAGCCAGGGGAGCGAACGGG